ACAACUGCUGCACCUACUACUACAGCCCUUGUAACAAGAAGGGUGACUUUCAGAUCUGUUAAAGACACAUUCACAAGUGACUUGCUGAAUCCAUCUUCUGCUGCUUAUAAAAAUCGAGCUAAAAUGAUAAAGAAUCAGCUUACACCUGUUUUCAAAAGAGAAUUCCCUUCGUCCUUCAAUUCAAUGGAAGCUGUUGCAUUCAGUAACGGAUCAAUCAUCAAUAUCAUUGACGUUAAAUUUGUAAGCACAUCUGCUCCUAAUGGCACUCAGAUUGCGAACGCUUUGAUCAACGCAGCUUCAACAGUCGUUGGUUUCGACAUUGAAGGCAGCUCCAUCAAUGUUAAUGGCAUCUUUUCCAGUGGAGUAAGACACAAGAUCAGUCUUGUCAGCGCAUCCUGCCUCUUACUGUUGUCAUGGCUACUGUCAAACCAGCAUUAGGGCAUUUUGUUUCAUUUUUAAUUGUAAUCACAACAUAACUUCCAUCACUGGAAAGAAAAGGAAUUUGUUUCUCAGAAGAAGAAAAAUACAACUGAGACGUGAUGUCCUAAAUUUUGAAGCUUCAUGGAAACUAUCUAUCAAAUAUAACUUCAACAUGUAGCCUUUCAGACCUUUUUGGUUAGGAAAGUAAAUCAUUUUAACUGGUCAAUAGAAUUUAAAUGUUCUUUGCUCUAACACAACUAAAGCACUUGUAUGUUGUAGGUUGAGUUACUAAUUACUGUACUGUAAAGAAUAUCUUGUGUAAUUACCCAUACAUUGUAAUAUUAAGGUGUAUUUAUAUCACAUGUGUAUCCUGAGAGCUUUCCUUUACUUUUGUCAAUCUAUCUCGCUAUCUUCCUUAUAAUCUGAUAACAAUGAUAAAAUAAAACAAAACUAUUUAUGAUAAA